GAAAAAUACACCACGUUUGUGUAAGUAUAAUGCUGUACAGAUGGUAAGAGACACACCCAUAUAUAACUGCAUGCCCUUUGGCAACUGACCCAUCAUUAAUUUUCCUAAUAUUUCCAUAAAGCUAUUUAUGAAUUCAAGGUUGUUCGUACAAGUCUUAUUUUGUAAAGCAUAAGGAAAUCUUACAGGAUUUAUGCAAAGACAGUCAGUGUUGGUGACAGUGAAGGGGUCAUAUUUAUCCGCAAUGACAAGCAUAUCUGGCACAGGAUACACCCUCAGGGCGUAGUCGUAGGCCCAGUACACAGGGCUAACAUACAGCGGAAGCGGUGUAAGGUGUCCUUGUGAUAAUAUGGUCUUUACAAAAUGAUUGGGAAUAUCCAUGCUGCUGCUAGGGAAGCGGACGCAGUUUCUGCACAUUUUGUUUACCAAAUCUUCACGAAAGAUAAUUAUUUCUUGUGUGCAAUACUGA
rnacentral:lncRNA from 1 species